GACGAACGCUGGCGGCGUGCUUAACACAUGCAAGUCGAACGGUAAGGCUCCAGCUUGCUGGGGUACACGAGUGGCGAACGGGUGAGUAACACGUGGGUGACCUGCCCUGCACUUCGGGAUAAGCCUGGGAAACUGGGUCUAAUACCGGAUAGGACUGCACCGUGAGGGUGUGGUGGAAAGUUUUUUCGGUGUGGGAUGGGCCCGCGGCCUAUCAGCUUGUUGGUGGGGUAAUGGCCUACCAAGGCGGCGACGGGUAGCCGGCCUGAGAGGGUGGACGGCCACAUUGGGACUGAGACACGGCCCAGACUCCUACGGGAGGCAGCAGUGGGGAAUAUUGCACAAUGGGCGGAAGCCUGAUGCAGCGACGCCGCGUGGGGGAUGACGGCCUUCGGGUUGUAAACUCCUUUCACCAUCGACGAAGGGUUUCUGACGGUAGAUGGAGAAGAAGCACCGGCUAACUACGUGCCAGCAGCCGCGGUAAUACGUAGGGUGCGAGCGUUGUCCGGAAUUACUGGGCGUAAAGAGCUCGUAGGUGGUUUGUCGCGUCGUCUGUGAAAUUCCGGGGCUUAACUCCGGGCGUGCAGGCGAUACGGGCAUAACUUGAGUACUGUAGGGGAGACUGGAAUUCCUGGUGUAGCGGUGAAAUGCGCAGAUAUCAGGAGGAACACCGGUGGCGAAGGCGGGUCUCUGGGCAGUAACUGACGCUGAGGAGCGAAAGCAUGGGGAGCGAACAGGAUUAGAUACCCUGGUAGUCCAUGCCGUAAACGGUGGGCGCUAGGUGUGGGUUUCCUUCCACGGGAUCCGUGCCGUAGCUAACGCAUUAAGCGCCCCGCCUGGGGAGUACGGCCGCAAGGCUAAAACUCAAAGGAAUUGACGGGGGCCCGCACAAGCGGCGGAGCAUGUGGAUUAAUUCGAUGCAACGCGAAGAACCUUACCUGGGCUUGACAUAUACAGGAUCGCGCCAGAGAUGGUGUUUCCCUUGUGGCUUGUAUACAGGUGGUGCAUGGUUGUCGUCAGCUCGUGUCGUGAGAUGUUGGGUUAAGUCCCGCAACGAGCGCAACCCUUGUCUUAUGUUGCCAGCACGUUGUGGUGGGGACUCGUAAGAAACUGCCGGGGUUAACUCGGAGGAAGGUGGGGAUGACGUCAAAUCAUCAUGCCCCUUAUGUCCAGGGCUUCACACAUGCUACAAUGGCCGGUACAGAGGGCUGCGAUGCUGUAAAGCGGAGCGAAUCUCUUAAAGCCGGUCUCAGUUCGGAUUGGGGUCUGCAACUCGACCCCAUGAAGUCGGAGUCGCUAGUAAUCGCAGAUCAGCAACGCUGCGGUGAAUACGUUCCCGGGCCU
rnacentral:rRNA from 1 species